GACGAACGCUGGCGGCGUGCUUAACACAUGCAAGUCGAACGGAAAGGCCCUGCUUUUGUGGGGUGCUCGAGUGGCGAACGGGUGUGUAACACGUGAGUAACCUGCCCUUGACUUUGGGAUAACUUCAGGAAACUGGGGCUAAUACCGGAUAGGAGCUCCUGCUGCAUGGUGGGGGUUGGAAAGUUUCGGCGGUUGGGGAUGGACUCGCGGCUUAUCAGCUUGUUGGUGGGGUAGUGGCUUACCAAGGCUUUGACGGGUAGCCGGCCUGAGAGGGUGACCGGCCACAUUGGGACUGAGAUACGGCCCAGACUCCUACGGGAGGCAGCAGUGGGGAAUAUGGCAAAAUGGGCGGAAGCCUGAUGCAGCAACGCCGCGUGCGGGAUGACGGCCUUCGGGUUGUAAACCGCUUUCGCCUGUGACGAAGCGUGAGUGACGGUAAUGGGUAAAGAAGCACCGGCUAACUACGUG
rnacentral:rRNA from 1 species